CGGGUCAAACUUCCCCGGACGCGGCCGCUGCUGAUUGGAAGAGAGGGAAGUAAAUGAAUUGGCUCCUGAAAAAGAAUGCCAUGAGUAGGAAAAAUAACCGUGUUCAUGUCUAAGGGCAGCACAUGGCAGAGAUUUGUAUUGCAAAGGAUAAUUGAAUGUUAUAACUGAAGCAUUCCAACAGUUGAAGAAGUAAAUGAACAGUUUGGAAUGACCAGGAGUGCUGUGCCAACAUGUAGACUUAUAUUGCUAUCAGCCUGCUCUAUUGGAGGAAAAUAAAAUGUGGAUGGCACAUCACAGAGAAUGCAUGGCAAAAAUUCCCAAAGCUGCACUCACAUGGUGAAGAGGUCCAUCCUAAUGGACCAUUAUGGAUGACCAGAUGUACAUGCAAAAAAAACAGAUAAGUAAAUAGUGCAAAUAAAAUGUAUGUGUAGACAGUUA